rnacentral:rRNA from 1 species
AACGAACGCUGGCGGCAUGCCUAACACAUGCAAGUCGAACGAGACCUCCGGGCCUAGUGGCGCACGGGUGCGUAACGCGUGGGAACCUGCCCUUAGGUUCGGAAUAACUCCCCGAAAGGGGUGCUAAUACCGGAUAAUGUCUUCGGACCAAAGAUUUAUCGCCUUUGGAUGGGCCCGCGUUGGAUUAGCUAGUUGGUAGGGUAAAAGCCUACCAAGGCGACGAUCCAUAGCUGGUCUGAGAGGAUGAUCAGCCACACUGGGACUGAGACACGGCCCAGACUCCUACGGGAGGCAGCAGUGGGGAAUAUUGGACAAUGGGCGAAAGCCUGAUCCAGCAAUGCCGCGUGAGUGAUGAAGGCCUUAGGGUUGUAAAGCUCUUUUACCCGGGAUGAUAAUGACAGUACCGGGAGAAUAAGCUCCGGCUAACUCCGUG